rnacentral:rRNA from 1 species
AACGAACGCUGGCGGCAUGCCUAACACAUGCAAGUCGAACGAGAUCUUCGGGUCUAGUGGAGCACAGGUGCGUAACGCGUGGGAAUCUGCCCUUUGGUUCGGAAUAACAGUUGGAAACGACUGCUAAUACCGGAUGAUGACGAAAGUUCAAAGAUUUAUCGACAGAGGAUGAGCCCGCAUAGGAUGAGCUAGUUGGUGUGGUAAAGGCGCACUAAGGCGGCGAUCCUUAGCUGGUCUGAGAGGAUGAAGAGCCACACGGGGACUGAGACACGGCCCAGACUCCUACGGGAGGCAGCAGUGGGGAAUAUUGGACAAUGGGAGAAAGCCUGAUCCAGCAAUGCCGCGUGAGUGAUGAAGGCCUUAGGGUUGUACAGCUCUUUUACCCGGGAUGAUAAUGACAGUACCGGGAGAAUAAGCUCCGGCUAACUCCGUGCCAGCCGCCGCUGUAA